UCGGACACACAAGGACUUGAGUUCAAUACCCAGUACCAAAAAAAAAAUUUCCAUUCACUAAGAAGCAUAUGUUUUUGUGCAGGAGGCCCCAGGGAAUCCAGAGGCGACUGAAUAUGGGUGCGGGGGAAGGCAGUGAGGCAGUCAGCCUUGCAGCUGACGUGGUAUGAAAGGCCUAGCAGCCCCAGAAGAGGAAGAAAAGUCUAGUCAGCCAUAAUAAAAAGUCUAAAUGAAAAGCGUUUAGAUGCAUCCUCACCCCUAAAACUCCAAAACACAAAGAACUUCAGGCUUACACAGAGAUUUAAGGGCUUCUUAAAAACCAUAAAAAUCUAUUUCUUCUCGUGCUACCCGCUCUCCUUAACUACUCUUACCAUAAUGUCUUCCCUAGACAGAGACCCUCCCUAUACCAUCUCCAUUAAUCGCCAACAGGACCCCAGCCCCAAUACGGAAAGCAGGAAGACCCCGAAAACCUUGUGCAAAGAUCAUGUUCAUUGCACUUCAGUCACUGUAAAUCCAGUGGGAAAUUCUCUCAGUUGAGGCCUGGUCCAUGAACUAUUUAUUUAUUUAUUUAGGUACCGGGGAUCGAACUCUGGCCCUUGCACUUGCAAAGCAGGAGGUGGAACCACUGAGCCAGAUCCCCGGCCCUCUAUGAACUACUUAGAAGAGAUGAAGGAAUGAAUUAGUACCGUUAUCCUUGAAGUACCGUGUUGGCGCCUGUCCAGCUGCAUUGUCUACCCUGCUCCUCAGCGGUCACCCUCCUGAUCUCAGUGUUCCUAAGUUACAACCUGUCGCUCAGAGCAAUUACUGCUAAUGAAGUUUAAUGACUGCAAAGUGUUCCAUCACGUGAUUAUGUCAAAAAUUAUCCUACUAACAAAGGACAUGUGAGUUAUUUUUGGGUUUUUGCUGUUAAAAACUGCAUCUACACAUGUAAAUGACUUGUAGUAUAAGCGUUUUUCUAAGAUACAUAUGAGUGUAAUUUUCUUAUUGACUUGCAAUAAUUUAUAUUGUAAACAUUUUUUGUUAGUCCAUGUCGGGCAAAUAAUUUUCAAUUUGUGGCUUCUUCACCUUACAUUUUUAAGACCACUUUAUCGAGGUAUAUAAACAUACAUAAAAUAAACAUAUUUAGAUUGUGUAACUUGGAUGAAUUUGAACAAAAAUGUGCCUGGGAAACCAUUGCCACAAUCGAGACAAUAAACAUAUGAACCACUCCUGAAAAUUUAUGCUCCUUUGUAAUUCCUACAUCCUCACUCACCUUCUGCAGGCAACCAUUCAUCUGUUUCAUAUCACAUUUUCUGAGGUUUCAUAUAAAUGGAAUCAUACAGCACAUUUUGGGGGGAUUUGGCUACUUUCACUCAGUGUGAUUAUUACUCAUUAUAAUUAUGAUCUGAUUCUAAUUUGACGAGGCAAUUUUACAAGUAUUUCUGUUGUAUAGUAACACAGAAAUAUCAAGUAUAAUCUUAUUGCUCAGGGAACAACUUUUGAAAUAAGAUAACCAAGUAAAUUUAUAGAUUCCUUUUGAAAGUAAUUUUCUUGGGCUAUGGCAACUCUUAAAGGAGUUCUACAGGAUCUCCUUAAUCAGAUUUUACUUCCAAGGACAAAUUGACAUUGACAGAACAAGCUGGUAAACAAUCAUGAAGUAUCCAUUUUUAUUUUUAG